rnacentral:rRNA from 1 species
GACGGAGGAUGCAAGCGUUAUCCGGAAUGAUUGGGCGUAAAGCGCACGCAGGUGGCUGAGUCAGUCGAUUGUGAAAGCCCUGGGCUUAACCUAGGAAUUGCAGUCGAUACUACUCAGCUAGAGUAUGGGAGAGGGCAGUGGAAUUCCCGGUGUAGCGGUGAAAUGCGUAGAUAUGCGGAGGAACACCAAUGGCGAAGGCAAUCUCCUGGACCUGCACUGACGCUCAUGCACGAAAGCGUGGGGAGCAAACAGG